AUUGAACGCUGGCGGCAUGCCUUACACAUGCAAGUCGAACGGUAACGCGGGGCAACCUGGCGACGAGUGGCGAACGGGUGAGUAAUGCAUCGGAACGUGCCCAGUAGUGGGGGAUAGCCCGGCGAAAGCCGGAUUAAUACCGCAUACGACCUAUGGGUGAAAGCGGGGGACCGUAAGGCCUCGCGCUAUUGGAGCGGCCGAUGUCAGAUUAGGUUGUUGGUGGGGUAAAGGCCUACCAAGCCGACGAUCUGUAGCUGGUCUGAGAGGACGACCAGCCACACUGAGACUGAGACACGGCCAAGCCUCCUACGGGAGGCAGCAGUGGGGAAUUUUGGACAAUGGGCGCAAGCCUGAUCCAGCCAUGCCGCGUGCGGGAAGAAGGCCUUCGGGUUGUAAACCGCUUUUGUCAGGGAAGAAACGCUCUGGGCUAAUACCCCGGGGUAAUGACGGUACCUGAAGAAUAAGCACCGGCUAACUACGUGCCAGCCGCCGCCGUAAAAC
rnacentral:rRNA from 1 species